ACGCACGCUGGCGGCGCGCUUAACCCAUGCAAGUCGCACGGAAAGGCCCUGCUUUUGUGGGGUGCUCGAGUGGCGAACGGGUGAGUAACACGUGAGUAACCUGCCCUUGACUUUGGGAUAACUUCAAGAAACUGGGGCUAAUACCGGAUAGGAGCUCCUGCUGCAUGGUGGGGGUUGGAAAGUUUCGGCGGUUGGGGAUGGACUCGCGGCUUAUCAGCUUGUUGGUGGGGUAGUGGCUUACCAAGGCUUUGACGGGUAGCCGGCCUGAGAGGGUGACCGGCCACAUUGGGACUGAGAUACGGCCCAGACUCCUACGGGAGGCAGCAGUGGGGAAUAUUGCACAAUGGGCGGAAGCCUGAUGCAGCAACGCCGCGUGCGGGAUGACGGCCUUCGGGUUGUAAACCGCUUUCGCCUGUGACGAAGCGUGAGUGACGGUAAUGGGUAAAGAAGCACCGGCUAACUACGUG
rnacentral:rRNA from 1 species